ensembl:ncRNA C45E1.10 ncRNA
GGCGGAAUAUUCGAUUUUCUUGAUUUUAAACAAUUUUUUUCUAAUUUUUACUGCAUUUUCGGGUAAUUUCGACCAAAUUAUAGCAAAAUCCGCUGAAUUUCGAGCUAAAAACAAAACAAAAAGUGUUGGCGUGACACAUGUGUGCUGUGACUACCAUCUAAACAAUGCACUAAUGCGUUAUGGCACAU